rnacentral:snoRNA from 1 species
GGGAAUAUAAUACUAAAUACUCUGUUAUAUAGAACUUUCUAUGCCUUUUCCUCUAUGGCUACGGAAGCGUGGACAACGGAGACAAAUUAACCAAUUUAAUGAAUAUGGCUUUUGACAAAUCUUCUUCUCGGUGGGUAAGGACGAAACCGAUAUCCUGACCUGCCUGUCAUUAGUCCUUCAGACAUAC